rnacentral:miRNA from 1 species
UACCUCGACGGCAGGAAGGGCUUCCUUCCGGUCGACGAGGUACAUGUACCUCGACGGCUGGAAGGAAACCCUUCCAGCUGGCGAGGUACACGUACCUCGUCGACUGGAAGGAAAUCCUUCCGGCCGACGAGGUA